rnacentral:rRNA from 1 species
AUACGUAGGUGACAAGCGUUAUCCGGAUUUACUGGGCGUAAAGGGCGUGUAGGCGGUCUUGCAAGUCAGAAGUGAAAUUCCUGAGCUCAACUCGGGCGCUGCUUCUGAAACUGCAGGACUUGAGUGCUGGAGGUGAUAGCGGAAUUCCUAGUGGAGCGGUAAAAUGCGCAGAUAUUAGGAAGAACACCGGUGGCGAAGGCGGCUAUCUGGACAGUAACGGACGCUGAGGAGCGAAAGCGUGGGGAGCAAACAGGAUUAGAUGCCCUGGUAGUCCACGCUGUAAACGAUGAAUACUAGGUGUGGGGGGACUGACCCCCUCCGUGCCGCAGUUAACACAAUAAGUAUUCCACCUGGGGAGUACGAUCGCAAGAUUGAAACUUAAAGGAAUUGACGGGG